UUUGCCGUACAGUGGAAUAAGAAAGGACAAGCUGUACGGUCAAAUAAAUUUAUCAGCUAUAUUGGGGCAGUGGCACGAAGCACCGUGCCCAUUACAGCGCAGCAUUGGAGGAGGGUUGAUCGUUCAGUGCGAGACACUAUUUGGACAGAUGUAUCGUCUGCAUUUGAUAUAGAUGAGAGCAGGAAGAGGUUUGUGGAGGGGAAGGCUGGGAGGGCACUACGCUCUUUCCGAUAUUUUGUCACACACAAGUACUUGAAGGAUCCUUCCACAGCCGACGAGUCCCAGGUUCCUAGCUUGAUACGGGACUUGGUCAAACCAGAGGAUUGGGCUGCUUUUGUGACGUCACGUCGUGAUAGGCAAUUUCAAGAAUUAAGUUCCCAAAAUAAGGAAAGAGUAAAGAAGAAUGAGUA